rnacentral:rRNA from 1 species
AUCCUCUCUAUUCUGACAGUAUAAGCCAGCAAGGACCCACCACUGGCAACUGACAGACCUAAUAAAAGUAGCAACUUCUCCCACACACCUCUACUCCCACCAACUGUUAACCUAAUACCAUAACAUUUCAAGAAAGAUUAAAAGAAAAAGAAGGAAUUCCGCAAAUAUUAGCUCCCCCUGUUUACCAAAAACACCCCCUCUUGUAUAUAUAAUACGUCCACCCUGCCCAGUGACUUCUGUUCAACGGCCGCGGUAUCCUAACCGUGCAAAGGUAUCGUAAUCACUUGUCUUCUAAAUACACACUAAUAUGAAAGGCAUCACCAGAGUUAAACUCUCUCCUCUCUCUAAUCA